rnacentral:tRNA from 1 species
GCCGUCGCCUGGUACAGGAAAAGGUUUACGCUGCCUUCCGGGCAGCGGGCCAAGCGGAUCGCGGUCCGCUUCGACGGCG